AUUUAUAUAAUAUAUUUAGUAUAUUUGACUUCCAAUCAUAAAGUUUAACUCUUAGUUAAUAUGAAUA
rnacentral:tRNA from 1 species